rnacentral:rRNA from 1 species
CCUACGGGAGGCAGCAGUAGGGAAUAUUGCUCAAUGGGGGAAACCCUGAAGCAGCAACGCCGCGUGGAGGAUGAAGGUUUUCGGAUUGUAAACUCCUUUUGUCAGAGAAGAUAAUGACGGUAUCUAAACUAUAAGCACCGGCUAACUCCGUGCCAGCAGCCGCGGUAAUACGGAGGGUGCAAGCGUUACUCGGAAUCCCUGGGCGUAAAGGGCGCGUAGGCGGGCUAGCAAGUCAGAUGUGAAAGCCUCGGGGUAAACCAUAGGUCUGCAUUUGAAACUGUUAGUCUAGAGUAUGGGAGGGGUAGGUGGAAUUCUUGGUGUAGGGGUAAAAUCCGUAGAGAUCAAGAGGAAUACUCGUGGCGAAGGCGACCUGCUAGAACAUAACUGACGCUGAUGCGCGAAAGCGUGGGGAGCGAACAGGAUUAGAUACCCCUGUAGUC